UACAGAGACUGCAAGCGUUAUUCGGAUUCACUGGGCGUAAAGGGUGCGCAGGCGGCCGUAUGUGUGAGGCGUGAAAGCCCGGGGCUUAACCCCGGAAUUGCACCUCAAACUAUACGGCUAGAGCAUUGGAGAGGGUAGCAGAAUUCAUGGUGUAGCAGUGAAAUGCGUAGAUAUCCGGAAGAACACCGGUGGCGAAGGCGGCCUGCUGGGCUAUGGCUGACACUGAGGCGCGACAGCGUGGGGAGCAAACAGG
rnacentral:rRNA from 1 species